GGCUCAGGAUGAACGCUGGCGGCGUGCCUAAUACAUGCAAGUCGAGCGAACAGAUGAGAAGCUUGCUUCUCUGAUGUUAGCGGCGGACGGGUGAGUAACACGUGGGUAACCUACCUAUAAGACUGGGAUAACUCCGGGAAACCGGGGCUAAUACCGGAUAAUAUUUUGAACCGCAUGGUUCAAUAGUGAAAGACGGUUUCGGCUGUCACUUAUAGAUGGACCCGCGCCGUAUUAGCUAGUUGGUAAGGUAACGGCUUACCAAGGCGACGAUACGUAGCCGACCUGAGAGGGUGAUCGGCCACACUGGAACUGAGACACGGUCCAGACUCCUACGGGAGGCAGCAGUAGGGAAUCUUCCGCAAUGGGCGAAAGCCUGACGGAGCAACGCCGCGUGAGUGAUGAAGGUCUUCGGAUCGUAAAACUCUGUUGUUAG
rnacentral:rRNA from 1 species